AUUGAACGCUGGCGGCAGGCUUAACACAUGCAAGUCGAGCGGAGAUGAGGUGCUUGCACCUUAUCUUAGCGGCGGACGGGUGAGUAAUGCUUAGGAAUCUGCCUAUUAGUGGGGGACAACAUUCCGAAAGGAAUGCUAAUACCGCAUACGCCCUACGGGGGAAAGCAGGGGUACUUCGGACCUUGCGCUAAUAGAUGAGCUUAAGUCGGAUUAGCUAGUUGGUGGGGUAAGGGCCUACCAAGGCGACGAUCUGUAGCGGGUCUGAGAGGAUGAUCCGCCACACUGGGACUGAGACACGGCCCAGACUCCUACGGGAGGCAGCAGUGGGGAAUAUUGGACAAUGGGCGGAAGCCUGAUCCAGCCAUGCCGCGUGUGUGAAGAAGGCCUUUUGGUUGUAAAGCACUUUAAGCGAGGAGGAGGCUACCUGGAUUAAUACUCUAGGAUAGUGGACGUUACUCGCAGAAUAAGCACCGGCUAACUCUGUGCCAGCCGCCGCCGUAACAC
rnacentral:rRNA from 1 species